UACGUAGGGGGCAAGCGUUGUCCGGAUUUAUUGGGCGUAAAGAGCGUGUAGGCGGUUUGGUAGGUCCGUUGUGAAAACUCGAGGCUCAACCUCGAGACGCCGAUGGAAACCAUCAGACUAGAGUCCGGAAGAGGAGAGUGGAAUUCCUGGUGUAGCGGUGAAAUGCGCAGAUAUCAGGAGGAACACCGGUGGCGAAGGCGGGUCUCUGGGCAACAACUGACGCUGAGGAGCGAAAGCGUGGGGAGCGAACAGG
rnacentral:rRNA from 1 species